rnacentral:rRNA from 1 species
GGUGAACGCUAGCGACAGGCUUAACACAUGCAAGUCGAGGGGCAGCAUAGAAGUAGCAAUACUUUGGUGGCGACCGGCGCACGGGUGAGUAACGCGUACGCAACCUACCUAUCAGAGGGGAAUAACCCGGCGAAAGUCGGACUAAUACCGCAUAAAACAGGGGCACCGCAUGGUGAUAUUUGUUAAAGAAAUUCGAUGAUAGAUGGGCAUGCGUUCCAUUAGGUAGUUGGUGAGGUAACGGCUCACCAAGCCGACGAUGGAUAGGGGAACUGAGAGGUUGGUCCCCCACACUGGUACUGAGACACGGACCAGACUCCUACGGGAGGCAGCAGUGAGGAAUAUUGGUCAAUGGGCGGGAGCCCGAACCAGCCAAGUCGCGUGAAGGAAGAAGGAUCUAUGGUUCGUAAACUUCUUUUGCAGGGGAAUAAAGUGCAGGACGUGUCCUGUUUUGUAUGUACCCUGAGAAUAAGGAUCGGCUAACUCCGUGCCAGCAGCCGCCGUAAAAC